CUUCUUUUAUCACCCCAAACCAGGGCAGCUCUACACAGCAGAGAUGGGAAGGGAGCAGGAGCUGCAGGGAAGGGAGCAGGAGCUGCAGGGAAGGGAUGUGGAUGGGACAUGCCAUGCUAUGACUCAGCUCCCACAGGACCCAGGAAUCCUGGUUACCAGCAGGAUCACUGCAUGAAUUUAGCUCCUGUAAUGUGCAGGUGAACAAAGGAACAGAGACUAACUGAAGAGACACAAGAAGCAGCCUGAUAUUAAAGAGGAGAAAAAGCUCUGAGUUUUUCUAGGAGCAUGCCUGAAGUUACAUUGAGACCAACUGUC
rnacentral:lncRNA from 1 species